GGAGGAAAAGAAACUAACAAGGAUUCCCCUAGUAACUGCGAGUGAAGCGGGAAAAGCUCAAAUUUAAAAUCUGGCGGUCUUUGGCCGUCCGAGUUGUAAUCUAGAGAAGUGUUAUCCGCGCUGGACCGUGUACAAGUCUCCUGGAAUGGAGCGUCAUAGAGGGUGAGAAUCCCGUCUUUGACACGGACUACCAGUGCUUUGUGAUGCGCUCUCAAAGAGUCGAGUUGUUUGGGAAUGCAGCUCAAAAUGGGUGGUAAAUUCCAUCUAAAGCUAAAUAUUGGCGAGAGACCGAUAGCGAACAAGUACCGUGAGGGAAAGAUGAAAAGAACUUUGGAAAGAGAGUUAAACAGUACGUGAAAUUGCUGAAAGGGAAACGCUUGAAGUCAGUCGCGUUGGCCGGGAAUCAGCCUUGCUUUUGCUGGGUGUACUUUCUGGUUAACGGGUCAGCAUCAAUUUUGACCGUUGGAUAAAGUGUAGGGGAAUGUGGCAUCUUCGGAUGUGUUAUAGCCUCUGCUCGCAUACAACGGUUGGGAUUGAGGAACUCAGUACGCCGCAAGGCCGGGAAUUUAUUCCACGUUCGUACUUAGGAUGCUGGCAUAAUGGCUUUAAUCGACCCGACU
rnacentral:rRNA from 2 species